AACGCAUAUUGCGCCCAAGACUUCGGUCAAGGGCAUGUCUGCCUCAGCGUCGGUUUACACCCUUGCCUCCCCAACAUUUGUUGGUGUGCAUCCCUCACCGGAUGUCGGAAGCAGACCUGGCUUUCCCAGAGUGUUGCUCGCAAUAAACUGGGUUGGCUGAAGUGCAGAGGCUAGAGCUUGGACCCGACAUGGGCUCAACUGGAUAGGUAGCACCGGCUUGGCCGACUACACGAAGUUGCAGCCUGUGGUCUUUGCUGGCGGCCAGCAGGAAACACACCUCGGUGUGCUCUAAACAUUCGACCUGAGCUCAGGCAAGACUACCCGCUGAACUUAA
rnacentral:misc_RNA from 1 species